GGGACUGGGGGGGUAACUGGGAGGGACUGGUUUAAACUGGGAUGGAUUGGGAGGGACUGGGCAUGGAGCUAAGGAGCAGCUGAGGGUCCCGGGUGUAUCCCGGUAGUAUCCCGGGUGUAUCCCGGGUGUAUCCCAGGUGUGUCCCAGGUGUGUCCCAGGUGUAUCCCAGGUGUAUCCCAGGUGUGCCCAGGUGUAUCCCAGGUGUAUCCCAGGUGUACCCAGGUGUAUCCCAGGUGUAUCCCAGGUGUAUCCCAGGUGUGCCCAGGUGUAUCCCAGGUGUAUCCCAGGUGUAUCCCAGGUGUAUCCCAGGUGUAUCCCAGGUGUAUCCCAGGUGUAUCCCAGGUGUAUCCCUGGUGUAUCUCAGGUGUAUCUCACCUGUCCCUCCCCU